rnacentral:rRNA from 2 species
GAGCUUCGUUGAUGACGUGCUUGCACUGAUUUCAACAAUGAAGCGAGUGGCGAACUGGUGAGUAACACGUGGGAAAUCUGCCCAGAAGCAGGGGAUAACACUUGGAAACAGGUGCUAAUACCGUAUAACAACAAAAUCCGCAUGGAUUUUGUUUGAAAGGUGGCUUCGGCUAUCACUUCUGGAUGAUCCCGCGGCGUAUUAGUUAGUUGGUGAGGUAAAGGCCCACCAAGACGAUGAUACGUAGCCGACCUGAGAGGGUAAUCGGCCACAUUGGGACUGAGACACGGCCCAAACUCCUACGGGAGGCAGCAGUAGGGAAUCUUCCACAAUGGACGAAAGUCUGAUGGAGCAAUGCCGCGUGAGUGAAGAAGGGUUUCGGCUCGUAAAACUCUGUUGUUAAAGAAGAACACCUUUGAGAGUAACUGUUCAAGGGUUGACGGUAUUUAACCAGAAAGCCACGGCUAACUACGUGCCAGCAGCCGCGGUAAUACGUAGGUGGCAAGCGUUGUCCGGAUUUAUUGGGCGUAAAGCGAGCGCAGGCGGUUUUUUAAGUCUGAUGUGAAAGCCUUCGGCUUAACCGGAGAAGUGCAUCGGAAACUGGGAGACUUGAGUGCAGAAGAGGACAGUGGAACUCCAUGUGUAGCGGUGGAAUGCGUAGAUAUAUGGAAGAACACCAGUGGCGAAGGCGGCUGUCUAGUCUGUAACUGACGCUGANGCUCGAAAGCAUGGGUAGCGAACAGGAUUAGAUACCCUGGUAGUCCAUGCCGUAAACGAUGAGUGCUAAGUGUUGGNAGGGUUUCCGCCCUUCAGUGCUGCAGCUAACGCAUUAAGCACUCCGCCUGGGGAGUACGACCGCAAGGUUGAAACUCAAAGGGAAUUGACGGGGGCCCGCACAAGCGGUGGAGCAUGUGGGUUU